rnacentral:rRNA from 1 species
UACGUAGGGUGCGAGCGUUGUCCGGAAUUAUUGGGGCGUAAAGGGCUCGUAGGCGGUUUGUCGCGUCGGGAGUGAAAACCAGGUGCUUAACACCUGGCUUGCUUUCGAUACGGGCAGACUAGAGGUAUUCAGGGGGAGAACGGAAUUCCUGGUGUAGCGGUGAAAUGACGCAGAGUAUCAGGAGGAACACCGGUGGCGAAGGCGGUUCUCUGGGAAUGACCUGACGCUGAGGAGCGAAAGUGUGGGGAGCGAACAGG